rnacentral:misc_RNA from 1 species
AACUUGUAUAUGAAAAAUAUUUUCCAUGAAAAUAUUUUUCGUUAUUUGGUUGCAAUAUUAAACUAAUGAUAUGUUAUGUGUUUAUGUUACGUAUGUAUAAAUAUUUUCACAUUUUAAUAAGAUUAUCAAAAUCUAAAAUAUAAAAAAUGACUUCCUCUUUUGAAAAUAGACAGUCAUUUUCAUUAUAUUUAGUUUUACUUUGAUCAGAAAAAUAUUUUUCCUUGAACCAUUUUCUUGAGUAUCCCAAACAUCAGAAAAAAAAAAUUUUGAGGAAAAUAUUUUCCAUGGAACAAACAGAGCUUUAAGAGCAAAUGUUGGUGUUCAUCCAUUUGGACCAUUGUCAGGUCUAUCGAACAACCAACCAGAAUUCCUAAUGCAUUUCUUUUUUUGUAAUGAAUUAUUAAGGACUAAGAAGCAGUUAACAAACAGUUCCCUUCACCUGAGAUUCAGUGUUUCGACCAAAAAAAAAAAACUCAGAUUCAGUGCUUUCCAACUUAUUAAUCCAGU